CGGAUUAGAUACCCUGGUAGUCCACGCUGUAACGAUGAUCACUCGUUGUUGGCGAUAUACCGUCAGCGACUGAGCGAAAGCAAUAAGUGAUCCACCUGGGGAGUACGGCGGCAACGCUGAAACUCAAAGGAAUUGACGGGGGCCCGCACAAGCGGAGGAACAUGUGGUUUAAUUCGAUGAUACGCGAGGAACCUUACCUGGGCUUGAAAGGGGAAUGACCUCCCGGGAAACCGGGAUUCUCUUCGGAGCAUUCUCCUAGGUGCUGCAUGGUUGUCGUCAGCUCGUGCCGUGAGGUGUCGGGUUAAGUCCCAUAACGAGCGCAACCCCUAUUGUUAGUUGCCAGCGGGUAAUGCCGGGAACUCUAACGAAACUGCCGGUGUAAACCGAGAGGAAGGUGGGGAUGACGUCAAAUCAGCACGGCCCUUACGUCCAGGGCUACACACGUGUUACAAUGGCCGGUACAAAGGGCAGCUACUUGGUGACAAGAUGCUAAUCUCUAAAACCGGUCUCAGUUCGGAUCGAAGUCUGCAACUCGACUUCGUGAAGCUGGAUUCGCUAGUAAUCGCGCAUCAGCAACGGCGCGGUGAAUACGUUCCCGGGCCUUGUACACACCGCCCGUCAAGCCAUGGAAGCUGGGAGUACCUGAAGUCUGUAACCGAAAGGAGCGGCCUAGGGUAAAACCAGUGACUGGGGCUAAGUCGUAACAAGGUAUCAUCUUUCUAG
rnacentral:rRNA from 1 species